rnacentral:sRNA from 1 species
AUAAAAGUAUUUGCUACCGAAGACAGUAGGUGCCGUAAGGCAUAAGUUGAUAACGCCUACCGAGGUUAAUCUUAAGUUGAAGAUUUUUCAGACCUCUUUAGUUCUUUGGACUUGAGAGGUCUUUCGUUUUU